rnacentral:rRNA from 1 species
AUUGAUUUUAUGCUUGCAUAAAUGAUUUUUGGAUUCGGAGCGAGUGGCGAACUGGUGAGUAACACGUGGGUAACCUGCCCCGAAGCGGGGGAUAACAUUUGGAAACAAGUGCUAAUACCGCAUAAUUAGUUGGAACCGCAUGGUUCCAACUUGAAAGAUGGCUCUGCUAUCACUUUGGGAUGGACCCGCGCCGUAUUAGUUAGUUGGUGAGAUAAAAGCCCACCAAGACGAUGAUACGUAGCCGACCUGAGAGGGUAAUCGGCCACAUUGGGACUGAGACACGGCCCAGACUCCUACGGGAGGCAGCAGUAGGGAAUCUUCCACAAUGGACGAAAGUCUGAUGGAGCAACGCCGCGUGAGUGAUGAAGGUUUUCGGAUCGUAAAGCUCUGUUGUUAAAGAAGAACAAGUGUUAGAGUAACUGUUAACACUUUGACGGUAUUUAACCAGAAAGCCACGGCUAACUACGUGCCAGCAGCCGCGGUAAUACGUAGGUGGCAAGCGUUGUCCGGAUUUAUUGGGCGUAAAGCGAGCGCAGGCGGUUUUGUAAGUCUGCUGUGAAAGCCCUCAGCUCAACUGAGGAAGUGCAGUGGAAACUACAAAACUUGAGUACAGAAGAGGAAAGUGGAACUCCAUGUGUAGCGGUGAAAUGCGUAGAUAUAUGGAAGAACACCAGUGGCGAAGGCGGCUUUCUGGUCUGUUACUGACGCUGAGGCUCGAAAGCAUGGGUAGCGAACAGGAUUAGAUACCCUGGUAGUCCAUGCCGUAAACGAUGAAUACUAGGUGUUGGAGGGUUUCCGCCCUUCAGUGCCGCAGCUAACGCAUUAAGUAUUCCGCCUGGGGAGUACGACCGCAAGGUUGAAACUCAAAGGAAUUGACGGGGGCCCGCACAAGUGGUGGAGCAUGUGGUUUAAUUCGAUGCUACGCGAAGAACCUUACCAGCUCUUGACAUCUUCUGCCAACCCAAGAGAUUGGGCGUUCCCUUCGGGGACAGAAUGACAGGUGGUGCAUGGUUGUCGUCAGCUCGUGUCGUGAGAUGUUGGGUUAAGUCCCGCAACGAGCGCAACCCUUAUUAUUAGUUGCCAGCAUUUAGUUGGGCACUCUAGUGAGACUGCCGGUGAUAAA